rnacentral:sRNA from 1 species
GUCAGUUGUUACAAUGUAUAUAUAGUACUCAAUAUGAACGUUGAGAUAUUGACAGACUAUUCCGGAUAGGAAAUUUCGCUAUCUAUCAAGCUUCCAACAAUGAAGGCAAUCAUUCUCUUGACCAUUUUGCUGGUAUCUUGUGCUGUCUAUGGUGAAAUGUUAGCUGAAGAGAC